rnacentral:rRNA from 1 species
UACGUAGGGGGCGAGCGUUGUCCGGAAUUAUUGGGCGUAAAGGGCGUGUAGGCGGUUCAGGAAGUCUUUGGCGAAAUCUCCCGGCUUAACCGGGAGCGGUCCAGAGAAACUCUUGGACUUGAGAACAGCAGAGGAGGGUGGAAUUCCCGGUGUAGUGGUGAAAUGCGUAGAUAUCGGGAGGAACACCAGUGGCGAAGGCGGCCCUCUGGGCUGUUUCUGACGCUGAGGCGCGAAAGCAUGGGUAGCGAAC